rnacentral:rRNA from 1 species
AGUGAGUCGGCCCCUAAGGCGAGGCAGAGAUGCGUAGUUGAUGGGAAACAGGUCAAUAUUCCUGUACCGAUGUGCAGUGCGAUGUGGGGACGGAGAAGGUUAGCUCAGCCGGGUGUUGGAUGUCCCGGUUCAAGCUUGUAGUCGUGCCUGGUAGGCAAAUCCGCCGGGCUUAGAUGAGGAGUGAUAACGAGAUCAAGCUUGCUUGGUCGAAGUGAGUGAUACCCUGCUUCCAGGAAAAGCCACUAAGCUUCAGCUGCACACGACCGUACCGCAAACCGACACUGGUGCGCGAGAUGAGUAUUCUAAGGCGCUUGAGAGAACUCGGGAGAAGGAACUCGGCAAAUUGACACCGUAACUUCGGAAGAAGGUGUGCCUUUAGUAGGUGAACCAUUUACUUGGGGAGCCCAAUGAGGUUGCAAAAAAUCGGUGGCUGCGACUGUUUAUUAAAAACACAGCACUCUGCAAACACGAAAGUGGACGUAUAGGUGUGACGCCUGCCCGGUGCUGG